AAGUGGAGGGAAGAAGGAAGAGGAGGAGGAGGGAGAGAAGGAGAGGCAUGGUGGAAUAUUCUCUGGGAUAUCGUAAGAAUCUGCUCUGUUGGACCCCAGUAUGAGCACAGUAAAAUGAGAUUAGGAAAAGAUGGAACCUGGACAUUUCCUAGGUCCCUACUGAGGGCAAAGACCCCAGCAGCCUUCACUGAGGAUUUGCAUAGGUCAUGUUUGUAUGCCUAUCAGCCGCGGUUUUCUCAGGGCACCACAGUCAACGUGCCAGGAACACUUGACUGUUGGAGACUCCAGUUAUCACGUACAUUGUUGGACUGCUCCACGGCCGUGAAACUAUGAAGAUACUAAAGCUGGUGCACAUGGAGAGACCAUGUCAUUGAAAACACAGGGUGUCUAGCCUGCCUAAAUGUCCCAACCUCAAAUUAUUUUAGCUCCACUCAUCUCUACUGAAAUUUUGUGGGAGACCCGAGCGAAGCCACCUGACCACACCUUCAAUUCCUGUCCCAACAGAUGGAAUGUGAGCUGGGAAUCAAAUUACAGCUUUUGAUUUAAACAA